GAGACAGCGCCGCCGGCCGUGGGGAGCGGACGCAGUGAUUUGCUCCCCCUCGUGCAGCAACCCCCACACCCAGCACCAGGAGCCUGUUCCUCUCACGCCCUCACCUGGCUGAGCCGCAGUAGUUCUUCAGUGGCAAGCUUUAUGUCCUGACCCAGCUAAAGCUGCCAGUUGAAGAACUGUUGCCCUCUGCCCCUGGCUUCGAGGAGGAGGAGGAGCUGCUUUCCCCAUCAUCUGGAAGGUGACAGAAAUGGGCUGGGAAGGUCCGAACAGCAGGGUGGAUGAUACGUUUUGGGCAAGUUGGAGAGCCUUUGCCCAGAUUGGCCCAGCAAGGAGCGGUUUUAGAUUAGAGACACUGGCUGGAUUGAGGAGUAGAAGGCUCAAACAACCCAAGGAAGCUGUGUCUGUUCGAUUUGGUGGGAGGAGAUGUGCAGGGAGCUGUAUCUUGUCCUCCGCUUGUGAAAAACUCAAGGAUGUGGAGAAGAGUAGACCGUGGAACCCUGCUCUUCUGCAGCCAAGCUGAGGGGCAGGAUGCGUGUGGGACAGUGGUAGAGAAGCAGGGGAUAGACUCAUAGGCUGCAACAAAGGUGACUCUGUCCCUGGACACUGCCUCCGUACUUUCUCCUU
ensembl:lncRNA MIR22HG MIR22 host gene